rnacentral:rRNA from 1 species
CACGUAGGGUGCGAGCGUUGUCCGGAAUUAUUGGGCGUAAAGAGCUCGUAGGCGGUGUGUCGCGUCGGCCGUGAAAACCUGCAGCUUAACUGUGGGCUUGCGGUCGAUACGGGCAUCACUGGAGUUCGGCAGGGGAGACUGGAAUUCCUGGUGUAGCGGUGAAAUGCGCAGAUAUCAGGAGGAACACCGAUGGCGAAGGCAGGUCUCUGGGCAUUAACUGA